CCUACGGGUGGCAGCAGUCGAGAAUCAUUCACAAUGGGGGAAACCCUGAUGGUGCGACGCCGCGUGGGGGAAUGAAGGUCUUCGGAUUGUAAACCUCUGUCAUGUGGGAGCAAAUUAAAAAGAUAGUACCACAAGAGGAAGAGACGGCUAACUCUGGGCCAGCAGCCGCGGUAAUACAGAGGUCUCAAGCGUUGUUCGGAAUCACUGGGCGUAAAGCGUGCGUAGGCUGUUUCGUAAGUCGUGUGUGAAAGGUGCGGGCUCAACCCGCGGACGGCACAUGAUACUGCGAGACUAGAGUAAUGGAGGGGGAACCGGAAGUCUCGGUGUAGCAGUGAAAUGCGUAGAUAUCGAGAGGAACACUCGUGGCGAAGGCGGGUUCCUGGACAUUAACUGACGCUGAGGCACGAAGGCCAGGGGAGCGAAAGGGAUUAGAUACCCGUGUAGUC
rnacentral:rRNA from 1 species